rnacentral:rRNA from 1 species
AGCGAACGCUGGCGGCGUGCUUAACACAUGCAAGUCGAGGGAGAACGGAGGGCUUCGGCCUUCUUAGUAAACCGGCGCACGGGUGAGUAACACGUAGGUAACCUACCUCCGAGUUCGGGAUAACCUGUCGAAAGAUAGGCUAAUACCGGAUAAGACCACGAUGGCUUCGGCCACUGCGGUCAAAGAUGGCCUCUAUUUAUAAGCUAUCGCUUGGGGAUGGGCCUGCGCACCAUUAGCUAGUUGGUGAGGUAAUGGCUCACCAAGGCUACGAUGGUUAGUUGGUCUGAGAGGAUGACCAGCCACACUGGGACUGAGACACGGCCCAGACUCCUACGGGAGGCAGCAGUGGGGAAUAUUGCGCAAUGGGGGAAACCCUGACGCAGCGACGCCGCGU